rnacentral:tmRNA from 1 species
GGGGCUGACGUGGUUUUGACAGCAUGUAGAAUUGAUAUGUAAGCAUGUCGAGCGUUGUUAUUCCAGCUCGUAAAUAUCGGAUAUCAUACUUUUUAAUUGGCGAAAAUAACUACGCUCUUGCUGCUUAAUCGAAUUAUAGUAGAUUAAAGCUUUAUCAUCACUCUAGGAGUGAAGACGAGACAUCCAGCUUAUGGUCCUACCUUGUUCCGGUAAGUAAUUGGAUGCUAUCAAUUCAGGGUUAGUCAGCUUCAAGCUUUGAGGAGUUGGCGAAAUUUAGAAGAUAAGUUAGGAUCUCGGGUGUGCUUUCCCAAAUCCCAAUCGAAAAUUAAUAAAGCAAUAAGCAUGUAGAAAGCCUAUUGAUCACUUGUUUGGACCAGGGUUCGAUUCCCUGCAGCUCCACUA